ACAAUGCGGAACUUUUAGUUUUGCAAUUGGAUUGAGAACAAUGUACAAAUGUUAUCGAUAAACAAUUGGAGGGCAAGUCUGGUGCCAGCAGCCGCGGUAAUUCCAGCUCCAAUAGCGUAUAUUAACGUUGUUGCAGUUAAAAAGCUCGUAGUUGAAAUGUGGGAUGAAGUAUAUAAUGAAUUUAUAAUUCAAUUAUAUAUUGAUUCCCCUCUCCAAUUUAUUAUUAUGGGUAUUAAUUUAUUUGUAAUAAGAAUUGGUCAUUUACUGUGAGAAAAUUAGAGUGUUCAAAGCAGGCAUUUGCUUGAAUAGAUUAGCAUGGAAUAAUACUAAAAGGCUUUUAUGGUCGAUUUAAUUGGUUUGUUCAUAAAAGCAAGAUUAAAAGGAACAGUUGGGGGUAUUCAUAUUCAAUAGUUAGAGGUGAAAUUCUCGGAUUUAUGGAAGAUGAACAAGUGCGAAAGCA
rnacentral:rRNA from 1 species